UNCAACCCAGUGACAGUAGCUGCCAUUUUGCC
rnacentral:piRNA from 1 species